rnacentral:rRNA from 1 species
GAGAGCGUUCUAAGGGCGUUGAAGCAUGAUCGUAAGGACAUGUGGAGCGCUUAGAAGUGAGAAUGCCGGUGUGAGUAGCGAAAGACGGGUGAGAAUCCCGUCCACCGAUUGACUAAGGUUUCCAGAGGAAGGCUCGUCCGCUCUGGGUUAGUCGGGUCCUAAGCUGAGGCCGACAGGCGUAGGCGAUGGAUAACAGGUUGAUAUUCCUGUACCACCUAUAAUCGUUUUAAUCGAUGGGGGGACGCAGUAGGAUAGGCGAAGCGUGCGAUUGGAUUGCACGUCUAAGCAGUAAGGCUGAGUAUUAGGCAAAUCCGGUACUCGUUAAGGCUGAGCUGUGAUGGGGAGAAGACAUUGUGUCUUCGAGUCGUUGAUUUCACACUGCCGAGAAAAGCCUCUAGAUAGAAAAUAGGUGCCCGUACCGCAAACCGACACAGGUAGUCAAGAUGAGAAUUCUAAGGUGAGCGAGCGAACUCUCGUUAAGGAACUCGGCAAAAUGACCCCGUAACUUCGGGAGAAGGGGUGCUCUUUAGGGUUAACGCCCAGAAGAGCCGCAGUGAAUAGGCCCAAGCGACUGUUUAUCAAAAACACAGGUCUCUGCUAAACCGUAAGGUGAUGUAUAGGGGCUGACGCCUGCCCGGUGCUGGAAGGUUAAGAGGAGUGGUUAGCUUCUGCGAAGCUACGAAUCGAAGCCCCAGUAAACGGCGGCCGUAACUAUAACGGUCCUAAGGUAGCGAAAUUCCUUGUCGGGUAAGUUCCGACCCGCACGAAAGGCGUAACGAUUUGGGCACUGUCUCAACGAGAGACUCGGUGAAAUCAUAGUACCUGUGAAGAUGCAGGUUACCCGCGACAGGACGGAAAGACCCCGUGGAGCUUUACUGUAGCCUGAUAUUGAAAUUCGGCACAGCUUGUACAGGAUAGGUAGGAGCCUUUGAAACGUGAGCGCUAGCUUACGUGGAGGCGCUGGUGGGAUACUACCCUAGCUGUGUUGGCUUUCUAACCCGCACCACUUAUCGUGGUGGGAGACAGUGUCAGGCGGGCAGUUUGACUGGGGCGGUCGCCUCCUAAAAGGUAACGGAGGCGCUCAAAGGUUCCCUCAGAAUGGUUGGAAAUCAUUCAUAGAGUGUAAAGGCAUAAGGGAGCUUGACUGCGAGACCUACAAGUCGAGCAGGGUCGAAAGACGGACUUAGUGAUCCGGUGGUUCCGCAUGGAAGGGCCAUCGCUCAACGGAUAAAAGCUACCCCGGGGAUAACAGGCUUAUCUCCCCCAAGAGUUCACAUCGACGGGGAGGUUUGGCACCUCGAUGUCGGCUCAUCGCAUCCUGGGGCUGUAGUCGGUCCCAAGGGUUGGGCUGUUCGCCCAUUAAAGCGGUACGCGAGCUGGGUUCAGAACGUCGUGAGACAGUUCGGUCCCUAUCCGUCGUGGGCGUAGGAAAUUUGAGAGGAGCUGUCCUUAGUACGAGAGGACCGGGAUGGACAUACCUCUGGUGUACCAGUUGUCGUGCCAACGGCAUAGCUGGGUAGCUAUGUGUGGACGGGAUAAGUGCUGAAAGCAUCUAAGCAUGAAGCCCCCCUCAAGAUGAGAUUUCCCAACUUCGGUUAUAAGAUCCCUCAAAGAUGAUGAGGUUAAUAGGUUCGAGGUGGAAGCAUGGUGACAUGUGGAGCUGACGAAUACUAAUCGAUCGAAGACUUAAUCAAAA